rnacentral:snRNA from 1 species
UAGUGCUAUAGCUCUUUUAAAUUUUGUCUAGGAGGUUUUUAUAUUUUGAAAGCCCUC